CGCGGAGCGGCUGGGAAGGAGGGGCUGGGAAUCUUGGAGCCCCUUGGCCCGCGGGGAAAGCGGGUGACCCGCCCUGCAAGUGGGAUGCCCCCUUCGGCCUUCUGGAGCGCAGAGCAAUGCACUCUGAAGCCGGAGGGUAGAAAGUGCUGGAAUGCGCGCCCGGGCCCAGGCUGUCGCGAGCCUUCAGCAAGCCAGUGCACACAGAGAGGGCUGCCCAGAGAUCCCGGUCAGCGCUCGCAGUUCGAGGUGGAACAUGGAGGCUGUCUCCCCGGCAAGGGUGCCCACUGCAAGCACAGGCGUGAGAAAUGGCCCAGAAAAGAGUGGUCAGGGCAAUGUGUUCUUGGCACGCCCAGCAAGACCUGCCAGAGGGACCUACAGACGAGUGUCUCCCAGCUAUCUUACCAGCGGGGACCUUGAGGUCCAAGUAUCCAGUCCGGUUAGAAAUGGCCGCGGAUCCAACAGGUGCUGGUGAGUGGGAGAAUACCCCUGAGGGAGGAAGAACAGAGGCCGGGAGGGAGCUGAGUGGAUGUAGAUGAGAAAUACCUGGACAGCUGCAAGCUGUAGUCAGUGAUGGGCAACUGGAACCAGAGAUUCCAGAGAGAGGGAGGGAGAAAGAGGGAGG
rnacentral:lncRNA from 1 species